UGAGGAAUAUUGGACAAUGGGCGCAAGCCUGAUCCAGCCAUGCCGCGUGCAGGAAGAAGCAUCUAUGGUGUGUAAACUGCUUUUGUACGGGAAGAAACACUCCUACGUGUAGGAGCUUGACGGUACCGUAAGAAUAAGGAUCGGCUAACUCCGUGCAAGCAGCCGCGGUAAUACGGAGGAUCCAAGCGUUAUCCGGAAUCAUUGGGUUUAAAGGGUCCGUAGGCGGUUUAAUAAGUCAGUGGUGAAAGCCCAUCGCUCAACGAUGGAACGGCCAUUGAUACUGCUAGACUUGAAUUACAAGGAAGUAACUAGAAUAUGUAGUGUAGCGGUGAAAUGCUUAGAUAUUACAUGGAAUACCAAUUGCGAAGGCAGGUUACUACUUGUGGAUUGACGCUGAUGGACGAAAGCGUGGGGAGCGAACA
rnacentral:rRNA from 1 species